AGAGCGAGUUCUGAAAAUGUCUCAGCUGGUUAGCUGAAGCUCCUGUGGAUGCUUUGCCGUGACGGAGGGCCGAGGGCUGACCGAGUCGUAGGGAGGAUUUGUACGUAGGAGGAGACGGCCAUGGCUGUGCAGCGUGCUCCCGAAUCUGCCCUCAGCUUGCUGAUGGUCCCGAGGAACUUUGCAAAGGGCUCRUCUGGCGCUCGUGUUCCUCCCGCAGUGGUUUUUAAUGCUUCUUGACCGACGUUCAAAGCUCAGCAGUUACGGCAGURUUUUGAAGUCAUCUUUACGACGGAGCUGACACUUGCUGUCUGGAUUUAACCUGAGCUGUAGUGUUUUUUUUCAUUCUGUUCGUUAUAUCGGUAUCUCAAAUUCUCGCAUCCUUCUGCUUUCUCCUCGUUUUGCCCUUGCUGACUGUGAGACAACUUGAGAGGGACAGCUUGAUUCCUCUGGGUUGACAGGCAUGUUGCUAGCCAUGAUCAGGUACUUAGUGAUGCUGUAUCAUUUGGGGAACAGGCUGCAAAGGCAGUGAAUAGC
rnacentral:lncRNA from 1 species